GGCGGUGGGUCUGAGGCAGAGGGGCCGGUGCGGGGCAGAGCAGCAAGUCCGGGAAGGGACCGGCGGUGGGUCCGGGCAUUGAGCGGCGGCGUCAGGAAGGGACCGGCGGCGGCUCCGGGGCUGAGCGGCGCCUCCGGGCAUUGAGCGGCGGUGUGUUCAUGCAUUGAGCGGCGGUGUGUCCGGGCAUUGAGCGGCGGUGUGUCCGGGCAUUGAGCGGCGGUGUGUUCAUGCAUUGAGCGGCGGUGUGUCCGGGCAUUGAGCGGCGGUGUGUCCGGGCAUUGAGCGGCGGUCCCGGGCAGAGCACGGCUGUGGCAGCCCAGGCUCCGGGGCCAUGGAGGAGCAGCAGCGGCGGGCGCUGCGGCGCGGGCGGGCCCGGCUGGUGGCGGCGCUGCGGGUGGAGCCGCUCUGGGACCCGCUGGAGCAGCGCGGGCUCUUCACCCGGCCAAUGCUGGAGGAGCUGCAGAGCGCUGGCAGCCGAGCGGAGCAAGCCCGGCAGCUGAUCAUUGACCUGGAGACUCGAGGGAAGCAGGCUUUCCCUGCCUUCCUCUCCAUCCUGCGGGACACCGGGCAGGGCGACCUCGCUGAGAUGCUGAUCCAGGAGUGCGAAUCCCGGCCGGUGCCACUGCAGCUGCCGGACCUGCGGCCCGUGGAGCUGGAGCUGCGGGAGGAAAAACAGCGUAAAAAUGUGACCCCUCAUGAACGUUUGUCUAUCCCAGUGCAAGCCGAGAGUGAAAGACCUCGAAUGCCUCCUGUGCCAGCCCGAGGUUCUGCUGUUGACAAGAGGAGGCGUGACCAGGAUUAUGAGCUGAAAGCAGAUCCAUGUGGACACUGCCUGAUCCUCAAUAACGUCAAUUUCUCCAGAGACUCGGGUCUGUCCACCCGAGAGGGCUCUGACAUUGACUGUGAGAAGCUGGAGAGGCGCUUCAGGGCCUUGCGCUUCACCGUCCUGACCCGGCGGGAUCUGAAAGCUCAGGAAAUGGUGUUGGAGCUGCUGAAGCUGUCUCGGCAGGACCACAGUGCUUUGGCCUGCUGCAUUGUGGUGAUCCUUUCCCAUGGCUGUCAGACGAGCCAUAUUCAGUUUCCUGGAGGCGUUUAUGGAACGGAUGGAAAACCCAUUCCCAUAGAAAAGAUUGUGAACUAUUUCAAUGGGUCCAAUUGCCCGAGUUUGAGAGGAAAACCCAAACUGUUCUUCAUCCAGGCCUGUGGUGGAGAACAAAGGGAUCAAGGCUUUGUAGUGGAUUGUGAUUCCCCUGAAGAGGAAGCUCCUGGGAGUUCCUUGGAAUCGGAUGCGACCCCGUUUCUGGUUUCAUCAGAUAACAUGGAUGAGCCUGAUGCCAUUGCCAGUUUGCCCACACCUAGUGACAUCUUGGUUUCCUACUCAACUUUUCCAGGUUUUGUCUCCUGGAGGGAGAAGUCAAGUGGCUCGUGGUAUGUGGAAACGCUGGACAGUGUGCUGGAGCAGUAUGCCCAUUCGGAAGACCUGCUCAGCAUGUUAGUGAGGGUGGCACACGCUGUCUCUGCCAAGGGGAGGUACAAGCAGAUCCCGGGAUGUUUCAAUUUCCUCCGUAAAAAAUUCUUCUUCAUGUGCCGCUGACACAUGGGCUCCGAGCCCCCUGCCAAGCACUGGAGAUUCUUCCUGUGGCUGAAUGAAAUCUGUGCCCACCACGACUUGGUCACCUCCUGAAGGCUCCUCUGAAGUGGGAAGAGUAGGAACCUUCACUCAUGUCUGUGCUGCUCUGUCUGGUCAUUACCAAUGUGGCUGUGCCAGCCUAUGAUCCUGAUCCUUUUGAGGAGUCAGUUGGGAGUUACUACAGGAAACUGCUGAGGAUUCAUUGAAAUACCAGUGCUGAGGCCGGAGCCGAAGCUGACGAUGCCCUCGACCUCCCAGAUCCCAUCUUCGCGCUGGCAGUUCAGGGGGCCCCCAGAAUCACCCUGUGCAGACAGACAGUGUGGGCCAUGAGUCCUGGGCACCCAGUUGGCGCACCCCACAUAGGACCCACCACUGUCAUAGACAGGUGGAAGAAUUAUAAAAUUGCCAAAGCUGGCCUGUCAUUUCUUCUGAGUGCAACUAAGCUAUUUUGUGAAUGAGAAGUUCCUUUAACCCAACAAUCUAUGCUGAGGGUGAAAAACAAAUGCACCUCUGUAAACAAUAAGAUUUGUCCCAUGAGAACCCACAAAGGGAAAAUGGAAACAUAUCUAGAGAGAGAAAAUUUGGUAGACUUAUUCAAUAGUGCUUACCAGCCAGUGACCUGAAUUUCACUUUAUUGCUGACCAACUAGGUUUAACACAGUGCCUUCUGAUAUUUCCUAUAAAUAUGA